UCCGGUGAAGUGUUCGGAUCGCGGCCUGUGGGCGGUUCGCCGCCGGCGAGUCGCGAGAAGUCCACUGAACCUUAUCAUUUAGAGGAAGGAGAAGUCGUAACAAGGUUUCCGUAGGUGAACCUGCGGAAGGAUCAUUG
rnacentral:rRNA from 1 species